UAAAAAGGGGCCCAAGCCCCCGCCGGCAGCACCAAAACUCUUAGCAUUUAUAGCGGAUUACAUUUCUGAAUACAAUACAAAACAAAUCAAAACUUUCAACAACGGAUCUCUUGGUUCUGGCAUCGAUGAAGAACGCAGCGAAAUGCGAUAAGUAAUGUGAAUUGCAGAAUUCAGUGAAUCAUCGAAUCUUUGAACGCACAUUGCGCCCGGCAGUAAUCUGCCGGGCAUGCCUGUCCGAGCGUCAUUUCAACCCUCGAGCCUAGGUUUUUACAAGCCCAAGGAUCGGUGUUGGGGCGCUACGGUUGUCAUCUGACCGCCGUAGGCUCUGAAAUACAGUGGCGGUCCCGCCGCGGCGCCUUCUGCGUAGUAGAUUUACAACUCGCAUUGGGUCCCGGCGAAGGCCAGCCGUCAAACCCUCUAUUCUUAUGGUUUGACCUCGGAUCAGGUA
rnacentral:rRNA from 1 species